GAGUUUGAUCCUGGCUCAGAUUGAACGCUGGCGGCAUGCCUUACACAUGCAAGUCGAACGGCAGCACGGGAGCUUGCUCCUGGUGGCGAGUGGCGAACGGGUGAGUAAUGCAUCGGAGCGUAUCCUGGAGUGGGGGAUAACGUAGCGAAAGUUACGCUAAUACCGCAUAUUCUGUGAGCAGGAAAGCGGGGGACCUUCGGGCCUCGCGCUCUUGGAGCGGCCGAUGUCGGAUUAGCUAGUUGGUGAGGUAAAGGCUCACCAAGGCGACGAUCCGUAGCAGGUCUGAGAGGAUGAUCUGCCACACUGGAACUGAGACACGGUCCAGACUCCUACGGGAGGCAGCAGUGGGGAAUAUUGGACAAUGGGCGAAAGCCUGAUCCAGCCAUGCCGCGUGUGUGAAGAAGGUCUUCGGAUUGUAAAGCACUUUAAGUUGGGAGGAAGGGCAGUAAGUUAAUACCUUGCUGUUUUGACGUUACCGACAGAAUAAGCACCGG
rnacentral:rRNA from 1 species